GGACGAACGGCUGGCGGCGUGCCUAACACAUGCAAGUCGAGCGGGGACAUACGACGGAGUCAAAGUUUCGGAUGGAGACGAAGAUGUAUGUCUAGCGGCGACGGGUGAGUAACGCGUGAGCAACCUGUCCCUUACAGGGGGAUAACACAGCGAAAGUUGUACUAAUACCGCAUGAGACCACGGGAGGACAUCCUCCAGGGGUCAAAGGAGCAAUCCGGUAAGGGGUGGGCUCGCGUCCGAUUAGAUAGUUGGUGAGGUAACGGCCCACCAAGUCGACGAUCGGUAGCCGACCUGAGAGGGUGAUCGGCCACAUUGGGACUGAGACACGGCCCAAACUCCUACGGGAGGCAGCAGUGGGGAAUAUUGGGCAAAUGGGGGAAACCCCGACCCAGCAACGCCGCGUGAGGGAAGAAGGUUUUCGGAUCGUAAACCUCUGUCCUUGGUGAAGAGGAAGAGACGGUAGCCAAGGAGGAAGCCCCGGCUAACUACGUGCCAGCCGCAGC
rnacentral:rRNA from 1 species